UGACCUCAAAUCAGGUAGGACUACCCGCUGAACUUAAGCAUAUCAAUAAGCGGAGGAAAAGAAACUAACAAGGAUUCCCCUAGUAACUGCGAGUGAAGUGGGAAAAGCUCAAAUUUAAAAUCUGGCAGUCUCUGGCUGUCCGAGUUGUAAUCUAGAGAAGUGUUAUCCGCGCUGGACCGUGUACAAGUCUCCUGGAAUGGAGCGUCAUAGAGGGUGAGAAUCCCGUCUUUGACACGGACUGCCAGGGCUUUGUGAUGCGCUCUCAAAGAGUCGAGUUGUUUGGGAAUGCAGCUCAAAAUGGGUGGUAAAUUCCAUCUAAAGCUAAAUAUUGGCGAGAGACCGAUAGCGAACAAGUACCGUGAGGGAAAGAUGAAAAGAACUUUGGAAAGAGAGUUAAACAGUACGUGAAAUUGCUGAAAGGGAAACGCUUGAAGUCAGUCGCGUUGGUCAGGGAUCAACCUUGCUUUUGCUAGGUGUACUUUCUGGUUGACGGGUCAGCAUCAAUUUUGAUCAUUGGAAAAAGAUUAGGGGAAUGUGGCAUCCUUGGAUGUGUUAUAGCCCUUGGUUGUAUACAAUAGUUGGGAUUGAGGAGCUCAGCACGCCGCAAGGCCGGGUUUUUACCACGUACGUGCUUAGGA
rnacentral:rRNA from 2 species